ACGUAAUGCGGAACAGAAGAACCUUGAGUGCCACCUAGCGGCUAGCCCUUAUAUUGCAUUUCCCUGUUAAAGAAAACAGAAUGAACAGAGAAUUGUUUUUUUCCCCCCCACCGGCGAGUGGAGGAGGGGUGUAACAUGAGUGCACGGUAUUGCACCCCCCAAAGUACAUGCAUUUUAUGCAGGCAAUCCCGAACUUGUAUCUUUGUACCAUGAAUAUGGGUCGCCAUAAGAAAGCAGUUAUAUCGAAAAUGCUGUCGGGACUAUAUCCUGUGCAUUUUAUAGCGAGGAGAAGUAACAGCCUCGGGUUCAGUGUGUGCAUAAAAUUAGCGUCCCCCGGUUCUGUUUUGUUCAUUAACAGCAUGAAGUAUAAGAAGCGGAGACACACUGCACAUGAAGCCUGUCCGCUCAGCUCCUGCCUGGGCUGCGUCUCAUACACACGCUAGCCCUCUAUUGUAGCUCUGAAACAAAAUUAGCAUGUGUAUGAGAGGUUGUAUUGUAAUGCACUGUACUGCCAGACUCAGCGAGAACAAAAAUAAAACCCUAAAAAGGCGUAAAGGUUACAAAAGGGUUAAAUAUGGAGCUGGUGGGAGGGGAAGCGAGGAAGGCAGGAAAUAAUGCUUUACUGGGGCUGGGGGAGGGAAGAGCAAGGGAAACUAUAGCUGUUCACAUAUCAAUCAUUUAUUUAUUUUUUUUAAAUGUACACUUCUUGAUAAGUAGCUUUGGCAGCAGUGGCGGAAGAGGUCUGGUAAAGGUGGAAAAUUGUAGCGGCAAAACACUAUAGAAAUCUUCCUCUUAAACACAGUGUUGUGAAGGAAAGUAUGGGGUGAAGUAAACAAGUGUCCAUUAUACAGUAUAGGAUUUGUUAUCCAGAAUACUUGAGACCUGUGGUUUUCCAGAAAAGGGAUCUUGCUGUAAUUUAGAUCCCCAUACCUUAAGUCUGCUAAAAAGCAUUUAAAUAUUAAAUAAACAUCAUCUGCCCCAUGUACACAGUCGAAUGCCAUUUCUGCUCGUUACUGCAUACACUGGGCAGUACACAUUUUUUUUUAAUAGACUUGUAUUGAAACCCUGAUUGACAAGGGACCCCUGCUUUAUUACUCAUAAACUCAAAGCCUGCAGGUGAGAUGUACAUAAUACAUUCUUAAUCCAAGAAAAUACAUUUUAGAAUCUUGUGUCCUCCCAGCUUGAAUCUUCUUUAAUUCCCGCAGAUGCUUCAAAUACAGGGGUGCUUUCUAUCAUUUAUAGAAUACUAAUUCCUGGUAAUGCUCAGCUUUUUGAUUCUCUGAGACUGCAGUGUCUAGGGGCCAUUGGUCCAAGGGAAGAGGAUGCCCUUUAAGGCAGAGAUCCCCAACCUUUUUUUACUUGUUAGUCACAUGCAGAUGUAAAAAGUGUUUGUGAGCCACACAAGCAUGAAAAAGGUUCUUUGUGUAUGCCAAGUAAGGGUUGUUAACUAUUUGGUAGCCCUAUGUGGACCGCUAGGCUCUGCUUUGAGAAAAACUGUGUCUCUGUACAUCCAAUAGAACAUUCUUUACCAUUUAGAUAGUUAACAAAAAAUGUGCAUCUAAAGAGAUAAGCACCUUAGAAGCAUCCCUCUGCCGAUCUUUCACCUCUGCACAGACUCUGUGUUGGUGGGGGGGGAUGGGGUCAGUGACCCCUGUAAACACUACAGUCACUUUUUGUACUUCCUUAAAUGAAGUUAGGCAUAGUACUGGCAGGACACUUAACUCCUAUUGGCUGAGUCUCCUAUCAGUCUUAAGGUCCCCAUACACGGGCCGAUUAUAGCUUCCGAUAUCGGUCCCUUGGACCGAUUCGGCAGCUUAUCGGCCCGUGUAAUGGCAGAGUUGCCUGGCCGACCAAUAUCUGGCCUGAAAUUGGGCAGAUAUCGAUCGGCCAGGUUAGAAAAUCCAGUCGGAUCGGGGACCGCAUUGGCUCGUUGAUGCGGUCCUUGAACCGACUGCUCCAUUGCCAGGUGUAGAAUUUGAUUGUUUGUCCCUACAUGCUUCCCCGAUGUCGCCAAGCGAGCGGAUCUGCCCGUGUAUGGCCAGCUUUACACUGCUUCCUGUGCCAGACCGCUGCAAAUCAUAACAUAACAGUAUGUUAAAUUUGUGAUAUGCUCAGUCUGUUUGCCUAUGCCUUUGCAAGUGAUAAAGUAACUAAUGACCUUUCAAUUUAUGCAACUAGUUAGAAUGCAAAAGCAACCAGUAAAUUGGUCCAGGUGAAAGAGAAUUCACAGAGUGAAAAGCAUAUGGGUGUUCCUGCAAGUUAUUUCCAAGCUUAUGGAUGCAACAGUACAAUAUUUAUUGGAUGUGGACAAUAAAACACCAAUAAACAUUUUCUGAAAUUAUUGCAGUCUUGGCGUUUGCCUCUUUUGCCUACCCCUAUACCAGUCCAAUUUGUGAAAAUCUGGGGGGGAAAAAAAUACUAGAAAUUGUAAACCAGGGCCGGAACUAGUGGUAGGAAGAAUGUGCCUAGGGUGCAACGGUGCAUGUAUCUCUUUCUCUCUGCCUACACCUAGUCCGGUCCCUUGUCAUUCUCCCAUGCACCCGCUCAAAUAAUUCCCCUGCAUUGCUGUUAUUUGCGCUAGUCAUAGCUUUCUAGGGUGCCUGGCCAGCUUGGCCCAGCACUGUUGUAAACUGCUGAACAAAGCCCUAAUAUUGUGUUGGGGCCUGACCAGGGCCAUUAAUUUCAUAAGGUAAGAACCUUUUGCUUGAGUGCAGUCUCUAUUUCUGCUUUGUUCUACCCUACCUGUCACCACUUCCUAUUUAA